GUCUAAACGACUCUCGGCAACGGAUAUCUCGGCUCUCGCAUCGAUGAAGAACGUAGCGAAAUGCGAUACUUGGUGUGAAUUGCAGAAUCCCGUGAACCAUCGAGUCUUUGAACGCAAGUUGCGCCCGAAGCCUUCUGGCCGAGGGCACGCCUGCCUGGGCGUCACGCAUCGCGUCGCCCCCUCC
rnacentral:rRNA from 1 species